rnacentral:lncRNA from 1 species
GAAGGCCGAGUGUUGUGAACGGUACGAUAGAAACUGUAGAAAAAUCACAAAUACGUGUGGACAAAGCUUGAAAGGGCAGAGACUGGGAAGAGGAGGCAUGUGCUUGAGGAAGUAAAAAUGAGCAAUAGUGACUCACCCUCCACUGACCCGAGGGUCCCAGGGAGCUUCUGAUUCUUGAGGACAUUGCUGGUCUCCUGGGGUCAGGACUGAGACGGGGACUCCUGAGGAAUGUGGGCACCCAGGUCUGUUGGCCAUCUCAGCUUUUCUCUGCUCCUUGUUCCUCCCAUCCCCAGUCACUGGCUCAGAGGAUUUCCGUUUCCCUUUCUAAGCUUGCAAAAGAUGGGGUCCCACUGCUGUGCAUCUAAGUCCUAUCUGGAAAGAGAACCCCUGGAAGCCCAUCCCUCCCUUGCUUCCUCCCCACCCCCUUCCUUCUCCCUCUCCUUGCCAAGCAGUAUGGUGCAUAGGUGUCAGAUGGGCCUGGAUUCAAAUCACUUCC